GAUGAACGCUGGCGGCGUGCUUAACACAUGCAAGUCGAACGGUGAACACGGAGCUUGCUCUGUGGGAUCAGUGGCGAACGGGUGAGUAACACGUGAGCAACCUGCCCCUGACUCUGGGAUAAGCGCUGGAAACGGCGUCUACUACUCGAUACGAGUAGCGUCCACAUGGUCAGUUACUGGAAAGAUUUUUUGGUUGGGGAUGGGCUCGCGGCCUAUCAGCUUGUUGGUGAGGUAAUGGAGCACCAAGGCGUCGACGGGUAGCCGGCCUGAGAGGGUGACCGGCCACACUGGGAAUGAGACACGGCCCAGACUCAUACGGGAGGCAGCAGUGGGGAAUAUUGCACAAUGGGCGAAAGCCUGAUGCAGCAACGCCGCGUGAGGGAUGACGGCCUUCGGGUUGUAAACCUCUUUCAGCACCGACGAAGCGCAAGUGACGGUAGGUGCAGAAGAAGGACCGGCCAACUACGUGCCAGCCGCCGCGGUAA
rnacentral:rRNA from 1 species